rnacentral:rRNA from 1 species
UACGGAGGGUGCGAGCGUUGUCCGGAAUUACUGGGCGUACAGCGCGCGCAGGCGGACUCCCACGUGCCGUGUGACAAGCCACCGCUCAACGGUGGAGGGCCAGGGUACACGAGGGGUCUGGAGGCAGGGAGAGGGAUGUGGAAUGCCCGGUGGAGCGGUGAAAUGCGUAGAGAUCGGGCGGAACACCAGCGGCGAAGGCGGCAUCCUGGUCCUGUUCUGACGCUGAGGUGCGAAAGCGUGGGGAGCGAUCCGG